UGGGUAACCUGCCUCAAAGAGGGGAAUAGCCUCCCGAAAGGGAGAUUAAUACCGCAUAAUAUGUUUAGGUCGCAUGACUUUAACAUCAAAGGAUUUUCUUUUAAGAAAUUCCACUUUGAGAUGGACCCGCGGCGCAUUAGCUAGUUGGUGAGGUAACGGCUCACCAAGGCAACGAUGCGUAGCCGACCUGAGAGGGUGAUCGGCCACAUUGGAACUGAGACACGGUCCAGCUCCGUAGGG
rnacentral:rRNA from 1 species